GACGUAGGGGGCCAGCGUUGUUCGGAAUUACUGGGUGUAAAGGGUUCGUAGGCGGUGUGGCAAGUCGGGAGUGAAAUCUCUGGGCUCAACCCAGAGAGUGCUUCCGAAACUGCUGUGCUUUGAGUGUGAGAGAGGCUCGUGGGAAUUGCAGGUGUAGCGGGUGAAAAUGCGUAGAUAUCUGCAGGAACACCCCGUGGCGAAA
rnacentral:rRNA from 1 species